UACGGGAGGCAGCAGUGGGGAAUCUUGCGCAAUGGGCGAAAGCCUGACGCAGCCAUGCCGCGUGAAUGAUGAAGGUCUUAGGAUUGUAAAAUUCUUUCACCGGGGACGAUAAUGACGGUACCCGGAGAAGAAGCCCCGGCUAACUUCGUGCCAGCAGCCGCGGUAAUACGAAGGGGCUAGCGUUGCUCGGAAUUACUGGGCGUAAAGGGAGCGUAGGCGGACAUUUAAGUCAGGGGUGAAAUCCCGGGGCUCAACCUCGGAAUUGCCUUUUGAUCUGGGUGUCUUGAGUAUGAGAGAGGUGUGUGGAACUCCGAGUGUAGAGGUGAAAUUCGUAGAUAUUCGGAAGAACACCAGUGGCGAAGGCGACACACUGGCUCAUUACUGACGCUGAGGCUCGAAAGCGUGGGGAGCAAACAGGGAUUAGAUACC
rnacentral:rRNA from 1 species